rnacentral:rRNA from 1 species
UACGGAAGGCAGCAGUGGGGAAUAUUGCACAAUGGGCGAAAGCCUGAUGCAGCUAUGCCGCGUGUAUGAAGAAGGCCUUAGGGUUGUAAAGUACUUUCAUCGGGGAGGAAAAAACAAAACUAAUAAUUUUAUUUCUUGACGUUACCCGAAAAAGAAGCACCGGCUAACUCCGUGCCAGCAGCCGCGGUAAUACGGAGGGUGCUAGCGUUAAUCAGAAUUACUGGGCGUAAAGAGCACGUAGGUGGUUUUUUAAGUCAGAUGUGAAAUCCCUGGGCUUUAACCUAGGAACUGCAUUUUGAAACUGAAAUACUAGAGUAUCGUAGAGGGAGGUAGAAUUCUAGGUGUAGCGGUGAAAUGCGUAGAUAUCUGGAGGAUACCUGUGGCGAAAGCGGCCUCCUAAACGAAUACUGACACUGAGGGUGCGAAAGCGUGGGGAGCAAACAGGGAUUAGAUACC